GACUCCUAGAACCAGACACGAGCUUUCUCUCCUGGCACUUGCCCUGUUGAGGCAGCUCAUAGAGUGAGGAAAGGCAGAGUAGACAGAACACAUUGGAAGAAACCGAUUCUGCAACCUCCCUUUCUGGCAGAUGCUCAGGAGGCAGCAUUUCUGCAGACUUUCUCAUGGGGAGUAGGGCUUGCUGCAGAGAUGGUGCUCCUGGGGGAAGGGGACAGGGCAGUGGGGGGUAGGGUGGGGCACAUUUCUCCUGGGGCUGCUGCAAAUCCCACUAAGUGUAAUCUUUGCUGGAUAAUAACAAGGUUGUCACUUUAAGCAAAAAUUACUAAAGGGCUGGCUGGGGCACCAGCAUCAGAGCUGCUCGACUCUGGAAGGCUAAGAGCAGUGGUUCUCAAACUCUGUGCCCGUGGAACACUCGGGUUCUGUGAGCCACCACAGAAGGAGUGAGAGGUUGAGGGGUUGAUGCUGUGGAAGACGGACGAGAAGGCACUGCUCGAGAAGCGUGGGGAGGACAGGGGAAAGCUCAUGCUCACGGGCCGCUCUGUAACCAAGACAAGCCAUGGAGGAAUGGAGGACUGCUUUUGUUCUGAGCCUCCCCAGAAAAGUAGUUUCAGGCACCAACCACGGGCCGGCGAGAAGCCACGUGGGCCACCUGGAAGAACGGAGAUGGUGUCCCCAGGUUACCUCUCAUCAUGCCUGGGACAUCCCCGCCCCUCUUCUUCAGCUCCCCAUAGCAGCCAUCACAGACCUUGGCCAUCCGGUCCUUGAGGCGACUGCAUCAAAGAACCAGGUAGCACUGUGGAGUACUACGUAGCAACCAAAAGGAACUGAUGGUACACACGACAGCAUGGGUGAAUUUCGAAGACAUGCCAAGUGAAAGAAGCCAGACACAGAGGAGGAUACACUGCUUCAUAACAUUUAUAUGAAGUACCAGAUGAGGCAAAGCUAACCUGUAGUGAUGGAAAUUAGGCCAGUGGUUGCCCGAACAGGGGGUGGAGGAAGUGAGUGCUAAGAGGCACAGGUGAACAUUCAAGAAAUAUUCUGUAUCUUGGAGCGCCUGGAUGGCUCAGUCGGUUAAGCGCCGACUUUGGCUCGGGUCGUGAUCUCACGGUUCGUGGGUUCAAG